rnacentral:rRNA from 1 species
GUUUCCGUAGGUGAACCUGCGGAAGGAUCAUUAUCGAUUCAACCCAAAUGAGAGGGGAGUUGCUUGUAGCUGUGCUGGCUUUUAACGAGGCAUGUGCACGUUCGAGUUCUCCUUUUCUUCAUUUACACACCUGUGAACCUGUUGUAGGGUCCUGCAAAGGACUUCUAUGUCUUUCUCAUACACACCAUCAUACGUUUAUAGAAUGUACCUUUUUUUUGCUUCUCGUCAGAGAACAAAAAUAAAAACCUUUAUAACUUUCAGCAACGGAUCUCUUGGCUCUCGCAUCGAUGAAGAACGCAGCGAAUUGCGAUAUGUAAUGUGAAUUGCAGAUUUUCAGUGAAUCAUCGAAUCUUUGAACGCACCUUGCGCUCCUUGGUAUUCCGAGGAGCAUGCCUGUUUGAGUGUCAUUAAAUUCUCAACUCUCCCUUUGAUUUCAUUCAAAGGGUUGAGCUUGGAUUGUGGAGGUUUGCUGGCUGUGAAGUCGGCUCCUCUGAAAUGUAUUGGCGAAGGCGUGCAUGAUACGGCCUUUCGGUGUGAUAAUGAUCACCGUGGCUGGGAAUGCUUUAAUGUCUGUGCCCAAUUCUCAGAGUCUGCAAAGGCUUUGAUACCCCACUUUGACCAUUUUGACCUCAAAUCAGGUA